UACGUAGGGUGCGAGCGUUGUCCGGAAUUACUGGGCGUAAAGAGCUCGUAGGUGGUUUGUCGCGUUGUCCGUGAAAACUCACAACUCAAUUGUGGGCGUGCGGGCGAUACGGGCAGACUGGAGUUCGGUAGGGGAGACUGGAAUUCCUGGUGUAGCGGUGAAAUGCGCAGAUAUCAGGAGGAACACCGGUGGCGAAGGCGGGUCACUGGUCCGGUACUGGACGCUGAGGUGCGAAAGCGUGGGGAGCAAACAGG
rnacentral:rRNA from 1 species